rnacentral:lncRNA from 1 species
ACUCUUGAUCAGUUGCCAUAGCCAUCUAUGAGAUUGUAUCUGGGCUUUGAACAGAAUGUUUAAUUGCAUUUUAUUAGAGUUGUGUGCUAUUGAUAGAGGAUAAGAGAGGGCCAGGAGCUGACUAAGGCUUUGGAACAGAAACCAGAUGAUGCACAAUAUUAUUGUCAAAGAGCUUAUUGUCACAUUCUUCUUGGGAGUUACUAUGGAUCUGUAAAUAACUGACGAAAAACCCAUCUGUUUCUACGUAGUUGCUGUUGCCGACACAAAGAAGUCUUAUGAACUCAAUCCAAAUAAUUCCACUGCUAUGCUGAGAAAAGGGGGCUGGCGGCAUGGAGUCUUGCUCUGUCACCCAUCCUCGAGUGCAAUGGCACCAUCUUAGUUCACUGCAGCCUUGAAUUCCAGGGCUCGAGCCAUCCUUCUGCCUCUGCCUCCUGAGUAGGUGGGACUACAGGCAUGUGCCACCAUACUGAGCUAAUUUGUUAAACACUUUUUUUGUAGAGACGAGGUCUUGCUACGUUUCCCAGACUGGUCUCUGAACUCCCGGCCUCAAGUGAUCCUACUGCCUUGGCCUCCCAAAGUACUGGCAUAAUAGACAUGAGCCACUGCACCUGGCUCCUAAGUUCUUUUCUUGAAUAAUAUCUUUCUUUUUUUUUAUUUUUUGAGGUGGAGUCUCACCCUGUUGCCCAGGCUGGAGUGCAAUGGCGUGAUCUCGGCUCACUGCAACUUCUACCUCCCGGGUUCAAGUGAUUCUCCUGCCUCAGCCUCCUGAAUAGCUAGGAUUACAGGCGUGCGCUACCACGCCUGGCUAAUUUUUUGUGUCUUUAGUAGAGAUGCGGUUUCACCAUGUUGGCCAGGCUUGUCUCGAACUCUUGACCUCGUGAUCCACCCGCCUUGGCCUCCCAAAGUGUUGGGAUUACAGGCGUGAGCCACCACGCCUGGCCAAGUAAUAUCUUAAUAUCAUGCCAUUGACAUUUAUCCUCUAAUUAUUUCAGAGGUGGCCUUCAGAAGAAGGCCUCUUUGGUAAAAUUGCUAUUGAGGAUAUUUCACUGAAAAACAAAUUUAUCUUUAAAUUUAAAUCCAGGAAAAAUUUAAACUUUCAGGCUUCUAUUUUUAUCAGACAGGGUAAAAAAUUUAUAACUCAGAAUAUUACCCUUUCCCCUCUUUGUGUGAUGGAUUGCUUGGUUUUAGUUACUGAUUAUUUAAAAUAAUAAGUUAUUCAAAUCUAGGAUUUUGAUACAAUAGUUCUUCUCUAGAAUAUAGUGUGUGUGUGAGAGUAUAUUUAAAAUUUUUAUUAAGGCCCAUGGGGCAGCCUUUGAGGAAACCAGACCUUGGGGAUCGCCAGGCAGGAUUAGUGGCAGGAAUUGAGAGAACAGAGCCCCACAGAGCUCCUCGGGGACCGUCCCCCAGUCACAAGAGUAUCUCAAGGAAGUAGUCUUCUCCCACAUCCCCCAAAGAUAACUACCAGAGGGUCAGUUCUCUGAGCCCUUCUCAGUGUAGAAAAGACAAGUGUCAAAGCUUCCCCACUCACCCUGAGUUUGCCUUCUAUGACAAUACGUCGUUUGGCCUCACUGAGGCUGAGCAGAGGAUGCUGGACCUCCCAGGAUAUUUUGGGUCAAAUGAAGAGGAUGAAACCACAAGUACACUUAGCGUGGAGAAGCUGGUGAUCUAGACUGAGAAUCAGCCUGAGCUUAACACAGCUGGGGUCUGCUACUCGCGUUUUGUAGACUUUUGUGUAACUAUUUGUACCGUAGGACAGAAUGUGAGGAGGAAGUAACACACACAGAGGAGGAUGUGUGUGUGUGCAUGUGUUUGAAUUCACAAGGAAGAAAUUAUUUAUCUUGAGCUUUUUCCUUUGUUAUUCAGUUUUUAUUGGUUUAUUACUAAUAAUGAUAAUAAAAUGUAAACAAGAGCAAA